rnacentral:rRNA from 1 species
UGAGUCAAAUCUCCCUGCAGUUCUCACCUGGUGUCCCACUGAAGCUAAGCAGGGUUGAGCCUGGCCAGUACCUAGAUGGGAGAUCUCCUGGGGAAAACUAAGAGGGCGUUCAU